rnacentral:snRNA from 1 species
GCUCAGUUUGACAGCACAUGUUAAAACUGAUACUAUGCAGACAAGAUUAGCACAGCCCCUGUGAAAAGAUGACAUCCAAAUUCAGGAGACAGUCUGUAUUUUG